AACGCUAGCUACAGGCUUAACACAUGCAAGUCGAGGGGCAGCAUGAUUGAAGCUUGCUUCAAUUGAUGGCGACCGGCGCACGGGUGAGUAACACGUAUCCAACCUUCCGUACACUCAGGGAUAACCUUUCGAAAGAAAGAUUAAUACCUGAUGGUAUGAUGAGAUUGCAUGGUGACAUCAUUAAAGAUUUAUCGGUGUACGAUGGGGAUGCGUUCCAUUAGAUAGUAGGCGGGGUAACGGCCCACCUAGUCGACGAUGGAUAGGGGUUCUGAGAGGAAGGUCCCCCACAUUGGAACUGAGACACGGUCCAAACUCCUACGGGAGGCAGCAGUGAGGAAUAUUGGUCAAUGGGCGCGAGCCUGAACCAGCCAAGUAGCGUGAAGGAUGAAGGUCCUACGGAUUGUAAACUUCUUUUAUAAGGGAAUAAAGUCACCUACGUGUAGGUGUUUGUAUGUACCUUAUGAAUAAGCAUCGGCUAACUCCGUGCCAGCAGCCGCGGUAAUACGGAGGAUGCGAGCGUUAUCCGGAUUUAUUGGGUUUAAAGGGAGCGUAGACGGGUCGUUAAGUCAGCUGUGAAAGUUUGAGGCUCAACCUUAAAAUUGCAGUUGAUACUGGCGUCCUUGAGUACGGUUGAGGCAGGCGGAAUUCGUGGUGUAGCGGUGAAAUGCUUAGAUAUCACGAAGAACUCCGAUUG
rnacentral:rRNA from 1 species